GACGAACGCUGGCGGCGUGCUUAACGCAUGCAAGUCGAACGGUGAAGGGACUGGUUUUGCUGGUCCUGGAUGAGUGGCGACCGGGUGAGUAACACGUGAGUAACCUGCCCCCUUCUCCUGGAUAACCGCAUGAAAGUGUGGCUAAUACGGGAUAUUCUGGGUCUGUCGCAUGGUGGGCCUGGGAAAGAUUGCGCCUUUUUUGGUGUUUUUGUUGGGGGAUGGGCUCGCGGCCUAUCAGCUUGUUGGUGGGGUGAUGGCCUACCAAGGCGGUGACGGGUAGCCGGCCUGAGAGGGUGGACGGUCACACUGGGACUGAGACACGGCCCAGACUCCUACGGGAGGCAGCAGUGGGGAAUAUUGCACAAUGGGCGCAAGCCUGAUGCAGCGACGCCGCGUGAGGGAUGGAGGCCUUCGGGUUGGGAACCUCUUUCGCCAGUGAAGCAGGCCUGCCUCUUUUUGUGGGUGGGUUGACGGUAGCUGGAGAAGAAGCGCCGGCUAACUACGUG
rnacentral:rRNA from 1 species